AAACCACCGGCGAGGAGGAGACACGGAACCGGAACGCUUCGCGACUGCUUUGAUCGAAACACGGCACAAAAAGAGUUUUCAGUUUUGGAUUUGGACAAAGCAAUCACCACCAGACGUUCGAUGCCACCAACCAAUAUUGCAACUGAAAUAUCUACCGUACACGGGAGGUAUACGCUGAUGAGACAGUUGUUAAAUAUUAGGGAAGAGAAAAGUACACCAGCACCGCUCGGGUUUUCACCAUUGGUGAGAGAAAAAAUGGAGUUCAGUUAAUUCAAGGCCGCAUAUAUAAAUGACUAUGACCAACGUCACCAGAGCCAGGGAUGAAGAGGCGGCUGAUGGCAAGCAUUGAAAUCCUUUCGCCUACCACACACAUCACGCUGGAGCGGAAAUCAUCCUG